rnacentral:rRNA from 1 species
UACAGAGGUCUCGAGCGUUAGGCGGAAUCACUGGGCUUAAAGCGUGUGUAGGUGGAUCGUUAAGUACCUUGUGAAAUCCCACGGCUUAACCGUGGAACUGCUUGGUAUACUGGCGGUCUUGAGCCACUUAGGGGCUACCGGAACAAACGGUGGAGCGGUGAAAUGCGUAGAUAUCGUUUGGAACGCCAAUGGUGAAAACAACUUGCUGGGGGUGUGCUGACGCUGAGACACGGAAAGCCAGGGGAGCAAACGGG